rnacentral:rRNA from 1 species
GAGUGACCGCUGGCGGUAGGCCUAACACAUGCAAGUCGAACGGCAGCACAGUAAGAGCUUGCUCUUACGGGUGGCGAGUGGCGGACGGGUGAGGAAUACAUCGGAAUCUACUUUUUCGUGGGGGAUAACGUAGGGAAACUUACGCUAAUACCGCAUACGACCUACGGGUGAAAGCAGGGGAUCUUCGGACCUUGCGCGAUUGAAUGAGCCGAUGUCGGAUUAGCUAGUUGGCGGGGUAAAGGCCCACCAAGGCGACGAUCCGUAGCUGGUCUGAGAGGAUGAUCAGCCACACUGGAACUGAGACACGGUCCAGACUCCUACGGGAGGCAGCAGUGGGGAAUAUUGGACAAUGGGCGCAAGCCUGAUCCAGCCAUACCGCGUGGGUGAAGAAGGCCUUCGGGUUGUAAAGCCCUUUUGUUGGGAAAGAAAAGCAGCAGGUUAAUACCCCGCUGUUCUGACGGUACCCAAAGAAUAAGCACCGGCUAACUUCGUG